GAUGAAGAACGCAGCGAAAUGCGAUAAGUAAUGUGAAUUGCAGAAUUCAGUGAAUCAUCGAAUCUUUGAACGCACAUUGCGCCCUCUGGUAUUCCGGGGGGCAUGCCUGUUCGAGCGUCAUUAUAACCACUCAAGCUCUCGCUUGGUAUUGGAGUUCGCGAUCUCGCGGCUCCUAAAAUCAGUGGCGGUGCCUGUCGGCUCUACGCGUAGUAAUACUCCUCGCGAUUGAGUCCGGUAGGUUUACUUGCCAGCAACCCCCAAUUUUUACAGGUUGACCUCGGAUCAGGUAGGGAUACCCGCUGAACUUAAGCAUAUCAAUAAGCGGAGG
rnacentral:misc_RNA from 1 species